AUUGAACGCUGGCGGCAGGCUUAACACAUGCAAGUCGAGCGGGGGAAGGUAGCUUGCUACCGGACCUAGCGGCGGACGGGUGAGUAAUGCUUAGGAAUCUGCCUAUUAGUGGGGGACAACAUCUCGAAAGGGAUGCUAAUACCGCAUACGUCCUACGGGAGAAAGCAGGGGAUCUUCGGACCUUGCGCUAAUAGAUGAGCCUAAGUCGGAUUAGCUAGUUGGUGGGGUAAAGGCCUACCAAGGCGACGAUCUGUAGCGGGUCUGAGAGGAUGAUCCGCCACACUGGGACUGAGACACGGCCCAGACUCCUACGGGAGGCAGCAGUGGGGAAUAUUGGACAAUGGGGGGAACCCUGAUCCAGCCAUGCCGCGUGUGUGAAGAAGGCCUUAUGGUUGUAAAGCACUUUAAGCGAGGAGGAGGCUACUUUAGUUAAUACCUAGAGAUAGUGGACGUUACUCGCAGAAUAAGCACCGGCUAACUCUGUGCCAGCAGCCGCGGUAAUACAGAGGGUGCGA
rnacentral:rRNA from 3 species